UCCUCACUGAGGGAACACUGCAGGUAAUGAUGUCCUGAGAGCGCACGCUGUAGCUGCACUGACAGUGACGUGGGACAACUGGGGCACCAUGUAAAGCGUGGAUCUGAUUCACUUAGCUUCAUGGUUUCUAAGAGCCGCGCUGAAUAAACAAGCCCCGUUCCACUCGCUGUUUACUUGGAUUCUUGGGGGUGAACAGAGCUCAAAAUGUUCAGCCAUGAUAUCGGUUGUCUGCGCUCAGCUGCUCCUCCCAAUCUCGGUAUCUGCGAUAGCCAAAAGUUCUGUAUCGGCCGGACUCUUAAUUAAAACCCUAAGGAACCAUGAGCACCUCCUCUGUUGUUCAUGCAUGCACAAGGAAACCGUCGGCCCUCAGUUUAUCCCACAAUAUUUAGUGACCCGUCCUGACGGUUCACGCAGCCAACUGAGCCGAGACUCGUCGGGUUAGAGUCAUGAUCGUUUAAGACUUGUUUCAGCUCUUAAGUGUGGUUGGGAAUAAAUACUGAUCCGUCUUUGUUGGAGCAAUCUCAUGGUCACAACUUCCGCUGCCAUCGCAUUAAACAAAUAUUGGCCUAGCAUCCCUUGGAGGAGUGCAUAUCGCCCGCUGCCUUGCAGGUCACAGUUUAAUACCCACUGUGUGAGGAUGACUCUCAGCUACUACUACACAGUUGAGCUCAAAAUCUCUCAAACUGACUCGGUUGUAGCAAUUUGAGUUUCAUUGACCUGUGGCGGCCAUUUUGACUCGGGUUGACUACAAGUACAUGGUUUACAGAUGUUCAUCAUCUGUUCACACGUUCAUGAAAUAUUUUGAUGGAACAAACGCUAAGACAUGAGCGAUUACAUGGUCGCCCACCUUUCGUGGCGGCACUCAAGUCAGACUGGAUAUAAAACAAAAACCAGAAUAUCGGUGCAAAGUAUGUGGUAUUUGUUUUGUAGAACUGGAGUUGAUGGUUGAAGCUGGUUCUCUGCCUCAUUAAGAAACUUCAUUUGUUCUAAUUUCCAACUAAUCUCAGUGACGUGGGAGAUUAUUUUAAACUAAAAAAGGGCUUUUUUCAAUGGUUGGUGUUGCUCACACUGAAAUGAGCCCCAUCAGUCGCAGGAAGUGACCUGUUCUGUUCAGACCAGUUACUGGUUUAAAGCGAUGGUCCAGUCAACUUGGUCAUCAGAAGUUAGCACCGUCUCUGUUGUGGCUUUAUAACGGAGCACUGAAGGAACCGUUGGUUCAUCUAAAGGUCACAGUGUCUGCAUCCAGUCUGAGAAGAAUUCACAACUUUAGCCUUUUAUUAUUUUUUAAAGCAGCGAGUCCUUCAGACCAUAAUGUAACGUCAGAUGUAGCCUCGUGGUAUUUACCUGCAGCCUCUGGAUGAAGGUUCAGAAGGUAUGAACCUCGUGUCCUGAUCACACUGAAGGUCUCACUGAGCUGCCACUUGUCGGAGACUAAAAUAGAUUUUCUGUUGGUGUCACUGAAUUCUCUGAACUGAAGCCGCACUUUGAGCAGUUUUAUUAAAAACAGUCCAAAUACAGUGUGAGCAGGACUUGGAAAGCUGAACUCGAGGCCGUGCACAUUUUGAUGUUGUGUUCGUUUAUAAAGAACACACUUCAUUGAUGAACCUGGAUUUUUAGUUAUUUCUCCACGUUGGGGUUUAAAGCGGGGGGAUGUUGGGGGCGGUGCUCUGUUCAGAGGUGCGCUCCUGUCGGGACACGCCUCCAGGGCUCUAAAGUGACAGAAACUAAAAGAUGAGGUCAAAACACCUGCAACAUCUGUUUUCACAGGAAAUUGUCCAAAUACGUAAUUCAACUUGAAGCAACAAAACGUAGAGCCUCUGCGCCUCACGAGGAACUUUGAGGAGACCGGUUCAGUUCAGGAACAGUCGCGGCUCAGUGACACGCUGGAUUUAAGGAAACACAACAAACGGACAGUGAAGGUUUUGAUCCUACUUUCUCUGACCACGGAAGGAUGGUUUGUUUGAAUCAUCAGAUCUGAGUAUCAUCGUUGGGCUGUUUGCAGAACGUCUGAUCUGAAAUGAUGCCAGUAUGAAUGAUGGGUGAGGACGUACUGGUACUGGUACUCUUACUGGUACUGGUGCGUUUGUGUUUGUAAAGAGAAGGAAGUCGUCAUCGUAACUUUGAUCCUUCACCACCACGUCCAGACGCUCUUUGUUCUGGGCUGGAAGUGUGUCAGUGAAACUCCAUGGUGACCUGAGCACACGUCCACCUGAUCUGUUGGACUUUGUAAACGCAUCAGCAGAUGUUUGGCUCCUCCCUCUCUCUCCGCUGUAUUAAAUUAUUUUCUCCACAUUUUUUUGGAACAAACUUCAGGUGGAAAAUGUUCUGUAGCUCUGGAAGAAGUUCAUGGUUCUCCCAAGCUGAUGACGUGUCCGUCUGCACUGUGAUCCAUUUCCUGACAAUCCUUCAAACUAAUUGGCUGAUAUUUGUAUCAACUUCCUGUCGGUGUGAUGCCAGAACCACCCUGUUGCCGAUUAUGGCCCCCCCCGUCUAUAAAGGGGUCCAAUGAUGGUUUGAGCCUGAAAACGACCCGAAUCUUGUUCUGUUCGAGGUUUAGGUGCAGCUCUGUGUGGGUUUGUAUCGAGGGGUUUCACAUGCUGUACCCGGAUCAACUUCCUGUCUGUUCAGGACCAGCAGCUGCUGUUAAACCUGUCCUCAUCUGCAGUUUCUGAAAACAUGAAUCCACUUCAGAACCCCCGAGGGGCGUCUUCAUAACCGUUCAUUGACCAUCUCCUCACACUGACACUAAUGCAUGUUCAUAAACGUCACACUCACAACCUACACAACACUUUCUCUGCUCAUUUUGUCUGUAGGAGUAAAAUACAAAUCAAGCUGCUGACCAGUCACUGCCGGGCUCUCAUUGUUUGUUUUCUCGCUGCAGGAGCAUCGCCCAAUCGAAGGAGGCUGAGAGUCCACUCCAAACCACCGGUACAAACUGAAGACUGAUGUCCGCAGGAAGACUCCGCAACGUGCCGCCUGCACCGCCUCCGAGUUGGAGUGUUCAGGUCCACGAUGUGUUCAAAACGCUGAGCUGCAGUUCCCCAUGUGUCCAGCAGAGGACGAUCUACUCGCAGAUGAUCCGUUCCUCCUUGUUCUGUUAAAAAUAAAAAAUAAACU